rnacentral:rRNA from 1 species
AUACGGAGGGUGCGAGCGUUAUCCGGAUUUAUUAGGUUUAAAGGGUGUGUAGGCGGGAGCCUAAGUCAGUGGUGAAAUCUCACAGCUUAACUGUGAAACUGCCAUUGAAACUGGGUUUCUUGAGUAUAGGUGAGGUAGGCGGAAUGUGUAAUGUAGCGGUGAAAUGCAUAGAUAUUACACAGAACACCGAUUGCGAAGGCAGCUUACUAAGCUAUUACUGACGCUGAUGCACGAAAGCGUGGGUAGCGAACAGGAUUAGAAACCCCAGUAGUCC